rnacentral:rRNA from 1 species
AUACGGAGGGUGCAAGCGUUAUCCGGAAUCAUUGGGUUUAAAGGGUCCGUAGGCGGGCUAAUAAGUCAGGGGUGAAAUCCCACAGCUUAACUGUGGAACUGCCCUUGAUACUGUUGGUCUUGAGUUACAGUGAAGUGGUUAGAAUGUGUAGUGUAGCGGUGAAAUGCAUAGAGAUUACACAGAAUACCGAUUGCGAAGGCAGAUCACUAACUGUAUACUGACGCUAAUGGACGAAAGCGUGGGGAGCGAACAGGAUUAGAAACCCCGGUAGUCC